UUUGAUCCUGCUCAGGAUGAACGCUGGCGCGUGCUUAACACAUGCAAGUCGAACGGAACACCCUUGAAGGAGUUUUCGGACAACUGAGAGGACUGUUUAGUGGCGGACGGGUGAGUAACGCGUGAGUAACCUGCCUUGGAUGGGGAAUAACACAAAGAAAUUUGUGCUAAUACCGCAUAAUGCAGCUGAGUCGCAUGGCUCUGGCUGCCAAAGAUUUAUCGCUCUGAGAUGGACUCGCGUCUGAUUAGCUAGUUGGCGGGGUAACGGCCCACCAAGGCGACGAUCAGUAGCCGGACUGAGAGGUUGGCCGGCCACAUUGGGACUGAGACACGGCCCAGACUCCUACGGGAGGCAGCAGUGGGGAAUAUUGGGCAAUGGGCGCAAGCCUGGCCCAGCAACGCCGCGUGAAGGAAGAAGGCUUUCGGGUUGUAAACUUCUUUUCUCAGGGACGAAGCAAGUGACGGUACCUGAGGAAUAAGCCACGGCUAACUACGUG
rnacentral:rRNA from 1 species